GCAAGGUUAAGUCCUUAAGGGACGGAGCCGUAGCGAAAGCGAGUCUUAAUAGGGCGUUUUAGUCAGUAGUAGUAGACGCGAAACCGUGCGAUCUACCCAUGGGCAGGUUGAAGCUGUGGUAACACAUAGUGGAGGACCGAACCCGUUGACGUUGAAAAGUCUUGGGAUGACCUGUGGGUAGGGGUGAAAGGCCAAUCAAGCUCGGAAAUAGCUCGUACUCCCCGAAAUGCAUUUAGGUGCAGCGUGUUAUU
rnacentral:rRNA from 1 species